rnacentral:rRNA from 1 species
GACGAACGCUGGCGGCGUGCUUAACACAUGCAAGUCGAACGGAAAGGCCCUGCUUUUGUGGGGUGCUCGAGUGGCGAACGGGUGAGUAACACGUGAGUAACCUGCCCUUGACUUUGGGAUAACUUCAGGAAACUGGGGCUAAUACCGGAUAGGAGCUCCUGCCGCAUGGUGGGGGUUGGAAAGUUUCGGCGGUUGGGGAUGGACUCGCGGCUUAUCAGCUUGUUGGUGGGGUAGUGGCUUACCAAGGCUUUGACGGGUAGCCGGCCUGAGAGGGUGACCGGCCACAUUGGGACUGAGAUACGGCUCAGACUCCUACGGGAGGCAGCAGUGGGGAAUAUUGCACAAUGGGCGGAAGCCUGAUGCAGCAACGCCGCGUGCGGGAUGACGGCCUUCGGGUUGUAAACCGCUUUCGCCUGUGACGAAGCGUGAGUGACGGUAAUGGGUAAAGAAGCACCGGCUAACUACGUG